UCAAGAAUCAAGAAUCUCAGCUACUAUGAGGAUGUAUAGAAUCUGGAUACCCGCCAUUCUUUUUCCCGCCAAUUCACAUUUCUCCAUUUUCCCCAUUACCCUGUGAAGUGCAAGUUAAAGAAAAAAUGGAUGAAAAAUUUGAGGAACAGGGCAAGCUUCCCGAGCUUAAACUUGAUGCUAGGCAAGCUCAAGGGUUUCUCUCAUUCUUCAAAACCCUACCCAAGGACCUUAGGGCAGUUCGUCUCUUUGAUCGUCGGGACACAAUUUUAUUAAAGCACCAACAUUGUUUGCAACUCACUUUCAUGAGCUGACUGCAUUGGCCAAUGAGAAUGGAAAGAAUGGGCAUAAGCAAAUUGCUGGUGUGGCAAAUUUUCAUGUCAGUGCACAUUGACUCUUCUAGUCUCAAGCUAACUAUGCUUUACAAGGUUCAACCUGGUGCUUGUGAUCAAAGUUUUGGUAUUCACGUUGCAGAGUUUGCCAAUUUUCCACAAAUUGUUGUGGUCCUGGCCAGAGAAAAGGCAUCUUAGUUGGAGGAUUUCUCUCCUAAUGCUAUGAUGCCAAAUGACUGUAAAGAGGCAAGGGGACAUGUAAACCAGAUUUCAGCUCAAAUACCAUUCGAGAGUACUACCCUCAAGUUUUUUGUUAUUGUGGAUGUAUAGAUUUGUCUUGUUCUUCCAGGCAGUCCCAAAGCGGAAGAGGGAAUUUGACCCACAUGACGUGUCUAGAGGUACUGCCCGAGCUCGUCAAUUCUUACGGGAUUUCACUCAGUUGCCACUGGAUAAGAUGGAUCUAAAGCAGGCCUUGCAACAGUUGAGCAAAAUGGAGACCGACCUUGAGAAUCAGUCAGUGGCUUCAGCAGUUCUUUACUUCUUCAGAUUAGAACUAUCUUCUACUCUAUGAAGCCUGGGGUGUGAAAAUGAUACUGUUGGUUUUGUGGAUAUAACUUAUGCCAAGUUUUGAAUUUUCAUUUAAAUCCUUACGGUGAACAUGAUC